GAAUUUAAGCAUAUUAAUAAGCGGAGGAAAAGAAACUAACAAGGAUUCCUGUAGUAAUGGCGAAUGAACUGGGAAAGGCUCAAAUUUAAAAUCACUUUUGUGAAUUGUAGUUUAAAGGAAAUUAGUCUCACAGCAAUCGCUAGUUAAGUAUUCUGGAAUGGAUCGUCAAGGAGGGUGAAAUUCCCGUAUACACUAGAUAGAAAGCUGCAAAGAACUUUUAUCCUACGAGUCGUGUUGCUUGUUAAUGCAGCAUUAAUUGGGAGGUAAAUUCCUUCUAAAGCUAAAUAUAAGAGAGAGACCGAUAGCAAACAAGUACCGUGAGGGAAAGAUGAAAGAGAACCCUGAAAAGGGGACUCAAAAGAAUGUGAAAUUGUCAAAAGGUAAGCGCUAAGAAUUGUUCGGAAUCUGAAUUUCAACUUUUAUCAGGGGAAACUCUGUAGUUAAAAUUUGGGUGGCUAUAGCUUUUGUUUUGACUAUCAAGAAUUUUGGGAUAGAGAUUGUAGGCUUCGGUUUACCUUUUCUUGAACUUGACAAUUGACUGUUGAAGCAGGAGUAAAAGUCUCACAAAGGUGUUGAUGAGGGGCACUUUCUCUUAUAGGCUUGCCUAGAGGAGUCAGGAACUUUAUCUUCUUUUUUAUGAGUUCUUAUAGUUAGAAGGUUCUAAGCGUCCCGUCUUGAAACACGGACCAAGGAGUCUAACAAAUAUGCAGGUAUAUGGGCGUCAAACCUCAUGCGUAAUGAAAGUAAUUUCAGGUAGGAUCUCGCAAGAGUGCACUAUCAACCGAACCUUAUGGACUUGUUCAUAGGAUUUGAGUGAGAGC
rnacentral:rRNA from 1 species